rnacentral:rRNA from 1 species
AGCGAACGCUGGCGGCAGGCCUAACACAUGCAAGUCGAACGAAGUCUUCGGACUUAGUGGCGGACGGGUGAGUAACACGUGGGAACGUACCUUUUGGUUCGGAACAACUCAGGGAAACUUGAGCUAAUACCGGAUGAGCCCUUAGGGGGAAAGAUUUAUCGCCGAAAGAGCGGCCCGCGUUAGAUUAGCUAGUUGGUGAGGUAAAGGCUCACCAAGGCUACGAUCUAUAGCUGGUCUGAGAGGAUGAUCAGCCACACUGGGACUGAGACACGGCCCAGACUCCUACGGGAGGCAGCAGUGGGGAAUCUUGCGCAAUGGGCGAAAGCCUGACGCAGCCACGCCGCGUGAAUGAUGAAGGCCUUAGGAUUGUAAAAUUCUUUUACCAGGGACGAUAACGACGGUACCUGGAGAAAAAGCCCCGGCUAACUUCGUGCCAGCCGCCGCCGUAAUAC